AACGAUUAUAAAUCCUUACCUGUGCAUGUUCCUAACGAGCUUACUCAAUCCAUACUUCCACUCGAUGUCGGAUUGUGCCUGUAUCCGUUGCGCAAACACUCGCGGUACGCAUCGAGGAUCUACAUAAGCCAAGUGUGUGUUAUAUCGAUCAUCCGGAUUUUGCGCGGCUUUUCCGCGUGCUCUUCUCUAUACCCGGAUUCUCUCAACUCACGGGAUUCACAAUCGGUGGAUCUUGCGACGAGCCGCGCGAGCGAACACGUGUACGUAACGAAGAAAGGAGUACUAUGUACCGUGCGCAUGCAAGGACCAAGAUCGGACGCUUCGUUGCUUUCCGGAAACACGGUGACGAGAGGAGAACAGGCGAAGCGAUCGUAGUCGAAGAAACAAGGAUUCGAAGGGGGAAUAGAAGAUUCUGACGGUAGCAAGGAACUAUCGAGGAUGAGGAAAUCGUAAAACGGAGAUCGAGACGAAAGGGGGUGGUUCUUUAUCGCCCCUUGACCGAGCAGUACUUCGACCAUCUGGUAAUGACCGUGCGUCGCGGCGAUAUGUAGACCGGUUUUGCCGUACCGAUCCGAG